AUUAGUGGCGAACGGGUGAGUAACACGUGAGUAACCUGCCCUUAACUCUGGGAUAAGCCUGGGAAACUGGGUCUAAUACCGGAUAGGAGCGCCUACCGCAUGGUGGGUGUUGGAAAGAUUUAUCGGNUUUGGAUGGACUCGCGGCCUAUCAGCUUGUUGGUGAGGUAAUGGCUCACCAAGGCGACGACNGGUAGCCGGCCUGAGAGGGUGANCGGCCACACUGGGACUGAGACACGGCCCAGACUCCUACGGGAGGCAGCAGUGGGGAAUAUUGCACAAUGGGCGCAAGCCUGAUGCAGCGACGCCGCGUGAGGGAUGACGGCCUUCGGGUUGUAAACCUCUUUCAGUAGGGAAGAAGCGAAAGUGACGGUACCUGCAGAAGAAGCACCGGCUAACUACGUGCCAGCAGCCGCGGNAAUACGUAGGGUGCGAGCGUUAUCCGGAAUUAUUGGGCGUAAAGAGCUCGUAGGCGGUUUGUCGCGUCUGUCGUGAAAGUCCGGGGCUUAACCCCGGAUCUGCGGNGGGUACGGGCAGACUAGAGUGCAGUAGGGGAGACUGGAAUUCCUGGUGUAGCGGUGGAAUGCGCAGAUAUCAGGAGGAACACCGAUGGCGAAGGCAGGUCUCUGGGCUGUAACUGACGCUGAGGAGCGAAAGCAUGGGGAGCGAA
rnacentral:rRNA from 1 species